UUUUAUUCUUUUAGAAACGAGUAUGCAAAAGUUUAGAGACCGUUCCAAAUGAGAGUGAUUUUUGCCACCAAUUAAAUGAAUGUGCUAUGGAUUACUGGAGUAUGGAGCUGGAUUCAAAACAGAAAGAUACCACAGAACAAUUUAUUCCUCGGACUCCUAAGGAAAAGCCAAAUUCAAUGGUAUGUUUACAUCACCAACAAUAACUAUUUAUUAGUAGAACAUGUUUAAAAUACAUUUUAUAAUAAAAUUGCAAAUAAUUGCUUUUUUGUGAGAGUUUUGUGUAUGUUUUUGUUAGAUUUUUCAAAAUCAUGGAAGCAAAGGUACUGCCCAGCCUUGCCCAAGAUGUAUUGCAGGAGAAUCUGGACACUUCAACCAUAUUAUGGGCUUCUAGAAGAAGAGAGACUGCAAAGCAGCAAUGUUCAGUUUGUUUUUAAAACUAUUCUCACAGGUCAGAAUCUGCCCUUCCAUAGAU
ensembl:lncRNA